rnacentral:lncRNA from 1 species
ACAGAGGAGUCCAAGGUCAGGUUGUCUAGAGUCCAGCUCUUCUCACGACCCUAGUCCGCCUCCACAGAACCAGGGACGCCGGACAAGGAGGACACUGCCUUCAGGACCCUUCUGCGGAGGUCCCUCAUGGUGCAGAAGUUGGGAGUAGAGGCAGAAACAGCUGUGAAAAUUCUGAUUUGUUUGUUUCUCUGAGCCAAGCUAAAGUGGAUAAUGAAGCCAAGCUGGCGAUUACCUUCCUGUGCGUGAUAAUGGUGGUAGUGGUGAUGCUGACUGCAGCAGGAUGACGGUGAUGUCAGCAGCGACACCAUUGGUCUUAUUGAUGGUGGCAGUGCCCAGGGUGGUGUGGGGGUAAUAGCAUGAGUGGGUGCUGGGAUGCUGUUAGUGAUCCUGCUAGGGCCAGGUUAGCUUGGAGGGGAGAGUGAUGUCCAUCACUGCAGUGGUGGCAAUGCUGCUAGAGACCUCCUGAGUAGUUGGACUCGGGCUGGCAUUGCUGCUGGGACCUUCCCUCACCCCCAUCAGGAAGACCCCUCUGCUCCUCCCCACCCUCAGUGAAGGGGGCAGGGCUCAGAGCCUUCCGUAGAACUGGCUUUAUUGCAUUCCCUGUUCUGGACAGUGUAAGCGAUGGCCCUGCCUCUCGAGAGGGACAAAUGUGAUAAAUAACCAGGGAGGACAAGCGGGAGGAGGCAGUCCUGCCACCAGAAGUCAUAAGUCUCUGUCCAGCCAUGUGACAGGCUCAUUACGGAAAGCUUCGGGGCCAUCCCGGGCUGCAGGGCCUGGGGCUCGGGAGAGCCCUCCAAUGCGUGGCUACUGAUGAAUCUGCAGCUCAGGGCUCGUGGAAUCACCAGCCUCAAUCUCUCCACCCUUCCCGCACACCAGACCAGUCAUGCGCGGCCACUCUUUCACCUCCCUCCCUCCAUCCUGGGAAAUCCAGGAAGGCAUUUGACAAAGCCUUUCCUGGUGUUCUUGGAAAUAGGAUGGACAAAUAUGAGCUGGAUAGCAGUCCAGUUAGAUGCACUGGACUCCAACAGACCCACAGAGGCCUGGGUUCACAUCCCAGCUCCAGCACUUACAGGACAUGUGAUGUUGGCAGUUGCCUUAACCUCUCCUCGUCUGCAAAGCGAUGACAGCACAAACUCUGCUUCGUUCAGUUGAAAAUGUGAGAUGAUAUAAGUAAGCUCCUGAUCAAUAAUUAACAUUCAUGUGCCUUCUAUGAGCCUGGUAUGGGUCAAUACAUAAAUUACUUUUUAU